rnacentral:rRNA from 1 species
UACGGAGGGUGCGAGCGUUGUCCGGAAUCACUGGGCGUAAAGGGCGCGUAGGUGGCUCGUGAAGCGUGCGGUGAAAGUCCGAGGCUCAACCUCGGAUCGGCCGUGCGGACUCGCGGGCUCGAGCGUUGUAGAGGCGGGUGGAAUUCCGGGUGUAGCGGUGGAAUGCGUAGAGGUCGGAAAGAACACCAACGGCGAAAGCACUCUGCUGGGCCGACACUGACACUGAGAGACGAAAGCUAGGGGAGCGAAUGGG